rnacentral:rRNA from 1 species
UACGUAGGUGGCAAGCGUUAUCCGGAUUUAUUGGGUGUAAAGGGCGUGUAGGCGGGAGCGCAAGUCAGAUGUGAAAACUCAGGGCUCAACCCUGAGCCUGCAUUUGAAACUGUGUUACUUGAGUGCUGGAGAGGCAAUCGGAAUUCCGUGUGUAGCGGUGAAAUGCGUAGAUAUACGGAGGAACACCAGUGGCGAAGGCGGAUUGCUGGACAGUAACUGACGCUGAGGCGCGAAAGCGUGGGGAGCAAACAGG